UUAGGCCUUCAUCACAUGCUCAGGGAACUGUCUGCCAUGAGGGAACCAGGGACAAGUCUUUGAUAAGAUAAAGUAUUUCCAAGAGGUCUGAGUUGAGAAUUUUGUUUCCCACAUAUUUGAAAAACCAGAGUCUACAGCUGUUUAGUAAUUCAUUAUUAAAACUAAUACCAGUCUGACGAGAUACUUGAUUUGAUGCCAACAUGCCUUUGGAACAUAAACAGACCGGACCAGAUAGGAACGAACCAGAGUCACCAAUACAUCCCAUACUGACUGGUUCCUGGUUCUCAGUGGGAGGCACCAGAAAAAGAUCAGGGCAUGGAAAAGGUCUAUGGAGCAAAGGGGUUCUUUCCCCCUAGACUUGGAACCGCUGGAGGUCACAAUGUAGAGAGCGCCAGUCUGAGAGUAGCCGGCAAAUCAAAGAGAACCAAGAUGAAGAGAGACAGGUUGCCAAAGAGCUUGAUUGGACCCCUGGAUGUAGCCAUGCCUGCACACCACCA